UUUUGCUUGGUGAAUUCGAGUUGUUUUUGUGUAAAACUUUGAGUAAAAGUGCGAUGUAUCUCAUCGUAAGUAUGUAUAUCACUUAUCCCAAUUCGUUUGCAAAACCCGGAGAAUAUCUUUUCCUCAACCUUUUCUACUUGAAUUUGAAGCUCAUCUCUACUUUUAACAAAGUUGCGAAGUUCCAUUUCCAAUUCUGACAAGUGAGGCUGUUUUUCUUUGAUUAAAGAUUCGUAAUGUCCAAUUUCCUUUUUUUUGUCUUCCACGGAUCUAGAAACUACUGUAUAUUUGUCUUUGAGUAGAGAUAUCUCAGAUUCAAGACUAUGCAACUUGACAGUAUCACUUUCUGUAAUCACACAAGAUGACUUUUGAUAUUCUAUUUCACCAAUUUGAUGCAUAAGUCUAUCUUUUGUUUGAGUAAGCAGAUCAAAAUCAUGGUCAUCCCAGUGUUUCGCCGACCGGUUGUUUGAAGAUCCACCAGUAAUCAACCCUGUUUUAUGUAUAACCGUUCCCUCUAAAGUAACUGUCUUGGCAUUGAGACGUUUGUUAUAGGAAAGGUCUCGAGCAACAGUCAUUGAAUCACAAAUGAGUGUAUUUCCAACUGCACUAAUCAUUACACGUUCAUAUUCAGACUCAAAAUUCAAAACGUCAAUUGCAAGUCGGGCGCCUUUGUGUGUUCCACGAAAUUUUUGAUUAACGGGACUGGCUGCUAUGGUGUCCAUUGGAAAAAAGGUCAUAAUACCUAUGCGUUGCUCUUUUAUAUAGUCAAUACACUCUUUAGCAACUGCCUGCGUUUCGACGACAAUUGCGUCAAAAUUUUUGCCUAAAGCAGCAGCGAUUGCGCUUUCAUAUUUCUUUUGAGUAGGAGUACAUAAGUCAAUGAUUCUUCCUUUGACUUCAGGAUAUAUCCUUUUCAAAGCAUACAAUGCUUCUCUUUUUUUAGCAUCCUGUUUGGAUUCAUUGCGGUCGGCACUUGCCUCUAAAAUUUUCUG